rnacentral:rRNA from 1 species
AGUGAACGCUGGCGGUAGGCCUAACACAUGCAAGUCGAACGGCAGCACAGGAGAGCUUGCUCUCUGGGUGGCGAGUGGCGGACGGGUGAGGAAUACAUCGGAAUCUACUCUGUCGUGGGGGAUAACGUAGGGAAACUUACGCUAAUACCGCAUACGACCUACGGGUGAAAGCAGGGGAUCUUCGGACCUUGCGCGAUUGAAUGAGCCGAAGUCGGAUUAGCUAGUUGGCGGGGUAAAGGCCCACCAAGGCGACGAUCCGUAGCUGGUCUGAGAGGAUGAUCGGCCACACGGGGACUGAGACACGGCCCAGACUCCUACGGGAGGCAGCAGUGGGGAAUAUUGGACAAUGGGGGCAACCCUGAUCCAGCGAUGCCGCGUGUGUGAAGAAGGCCUGCGGGUUGUAAAGCACUUUAGUUGGGGAGGAAGGGUUUAAGUUUAAUAGACUUAAGCAUUGACGUUACCCAAAGAAUAAGCACCGGCUAACUCUGUGCCAGCAGCCGCAGUAA